rnacentral:rRNA from 1 species
AGGUUAAGCUAGAAAGGGCGCACGGUGGAUGCCUUGGCACUAGGAGCCGAUGAAGGACGGGGCUGUCCGUAAUGGGGCAGUAUCCAUGCCUGAAUCCAUAGGGCAUGGAGGGCACACCCGGGGAACUGAAACAUCUUAGUACCCGGAGGAGAAGAAAGCAACCGCGAUUCCCURAGUAGCGGCGAGCGAAACGGGAACAGCCCAAACCAAGAGGCAUGUCCUCUUGGGGUUGUAGGACCGCUCACGAUGGGAGUGAGAAAGGRACGGGGUAGACGAACCGGUCUGGAACGGCCGGCCAGAGAAGGUGASAGCAAUCCCGUCGGAAGCAGGGAGGACCAUCUCCCAAGGCUAAAUACUCCCUAGUGACCGAUAGUGCACCAGUACCGUGAGGGAAAGGUGAAAAGCACCCCGGGAGGGGAGUGAAAGAGAACCUGAAACCGUGUGCCUACAAGUAGUCAGAGCSCGUUSAUGSGUGAUGGCGUGCCUUUUGUAGAAUGAACCGGCGAGUGACGAUGGCGUGCGAGGUUAAGCCGRAGAGGCGGAGCCGCAGCGAAAGCGAGUCUGAACAGGGCGUGUGAGUACGUCGUCGUCGACCCGAAACCAGGUGAUCUACCCAUGUCCAGGGUGAAGGCCGGGUAACACCGGCUGGAGGCCCGAACCCACGCACGUUGAAAAGUGCGGGGAUGAGGUGUGGGUAGGGGUGAAAUGCCAAUCGAACUUGGAGAUAGCUGGUUCUCCCCGAAAUAGCUUUAGGGCUAGCCUCGGGUUURRGAGUCUUGGAGGUAGAGCACUGAUUGGGCUAGGGGCCCAAAMCGGGUUACCGAACCCAGUCAAACUCCGAAUGCCAAYGACUUAUGCCCGGGAGUCAGACUGCGAGUGAUAAGAUCCGUGGUCGAGAGGGRAACAGCCCAGACCGCCAGCUAAGGCCCCGAAGUGCACGUUCAGUGGAAAAGGAUGUGGAGUUGCMRAGACAACCAGGAUGUUGGCUUAGAAGCAGCCACCAUUUAAAGAGUGCGUAAUAGCUCACUGGUCGAGUGACUCUGCGCCGAAAAUGUACCGGGGCUAAACGUGCCGCCGAAGCUGCGGGAUGACCGUUGGUCAUCGGUAGGGGAGCGUUCUAAGGGCAGAGAAGCCAGACCGGAAGGACUGGUGGAGCGCUUAGAAGUGAGAAUGCCGGUAUGAGUAGCGAAAACAGAGGUGAGAAUCCUCUGCGCCGAAAGCCUAAGGGUUCCUGAGGAAGGUUCGUCCGCUCAGGGUUAGUCGGGACCUAAGCCGAGGCCGAAAGGCGUAGGUGAUGGACAACAGGUUGAGAUUCCUGUACCACCUUNNGAUCCGGAAGUCCCCGAUUUCACACUGCCAAGAAAAGCCUCUAGCGAGGGAAGAGGUGCCCGUACCGCAAACCGACACAGGUAGGCGAGGAGAGAAUCCUAAGGCGCGCGGGAGAACUCUCGUUAAGGAACUCGGCAAAAUGACCCCGUAACUUCGGGAGAAGGGGUGCUCUUUGGGGUGAAGAGCCCUGAAGAGCCGCAGUGAAAAGGCCCAAGCGACUGUUUAUCAAAAACACAGGUCUCUGCGAAGCCGAAAGGCGACGUAUAGGGGCUGACACCUGCCCGGUGCUGGAAGGUUAAGGGGAGCGCUUAGCGGAAGCGAAGGUGCGAACCGAAGCCCCAGUAAACGGCGGCCGUAACUAUAACGGUCCUAAGGUAGCGAAAUUCCUUGUCGGGUAAGUUCCGACCCGCACGAAAGGUGUAACGACUUGGGCGCUGUCUCAACGAGAGACCCGGUGAAAUUAUACUACCUGUGAAGAUGCAGGUUACCCGCGACAGGACGGAAAGACCCCGUGGAGCUUUACUGCAGCCUGAUAUGGAAUUUUGGUAUCGCUUGUACAGGAUAGGUGGGAGCCUGGGAAGCCGGAGCGCCAGCUUCGGUGGAGGCGGCGGUGGGAUACCACCCUGGCGGUAUUGAAAUUCUAACCCGCACCCCUUARCGGGGUGGGAGACAGUGUCAGGYGGGCAGUUUGACUGGGGCGGUCGCCUCCCAAAAGGUAACGGAGGCGCCCAAAGGUUCCCUCAGAAUGGUUGGAAAUCAUUCGGAGAGUGCAAAGGCACAAGGGAGCUUGACUGCGAGACGGACAGGUCGAGCAGGGACGAAAGUCGGGCUUAGUGAUCCGGUGGUUCCGCAUGGAAGGGCCAUCGCUCAACGGAUAAAAGCUACCCCGGGGAUAACAGGCUGAUCUCCCCCAAGAGUCCACAUCGACGGGGAGGUUUGGCACCUCGAUGUCGGCUCAUCGCAUCCUGGGGCUGUAGUCGGUCCCAAGGGUUGGGCUGUUCGCCCAUUAAAGCGGUACGCGAGCUGGGUUCAGAACGUCGUGAGACAGUUCGGUCCCUAUCCGUCGCGGGCGGAGGAAAUUUGAGAGGAGCUGUCCUUAGUACGAGAGGACCGGGAUGGACGCACCGCUGGUGUACCAGUUGUCCCGCCAGGGGCACCGCUGGGUAGCUAUGUGCGGACGGGAUAAGCGCUGAAAGCAUCUAAGCGUGAAGCCCCCCUCAAGAUGAGAUUUCCCACCGCG